CCGCCAGUGCGAAGGCGCUCCGCUAGAACGGGUCCGACGGUGAGGGACGAAGGCCAGGGGAGCGAACCGGAUUAGAUACCCGGGUAGUCCUGGCUGUAAAGGAUGCGGGCUAGGUGUCGGGUGAGCUUCGAGCUCGCCCGGUGCCGAAGGGAAGCCGUUAAGCCCGCCGCCUGGGGAGUACGGCCGCAAGGCUGAAACUUAAAGGAAUUGGCGGGGGAGCACUACAAGGGGUGGAGCGUGCGGUUUAAUUGGAUUCAACGCCGGGAACCUCACCGGGGGCGACGGCAGGAUGAAGGCCAGGCUGAAGGUCUUGCCGGACACGCCGAGAGGAGGUGCAUGGCCGCCGUCAGCUCGUACCGUGAGGCGUCCACUUAAGUGUGGUAACGAGCGAGACCCGCGCCCCCAGUUGCCAGUCCUUCCCGCUGGGGAGGAGGCACUCUGGGGGGACCGCCGGCGAUAAGCCGGAGGAAGGAGCGGGCGACGGUAGGUCAGUAUGCCCCGAAACCCCCGGGCUACACGCGCGCUACAAUGAGCGGGACAAUGGGAUCCGACCCCGGAAGGGGAAGGGAAUCCCCUAAACCCGCUCCCAGUUCGGAUCGCGGGCUGCAACUCGCCCGCGUGAAGCUGGAAUCCCUAGUACCCGCGUGUCAU
rnacentral:rRNA from 1 species